AAUGUGCCUUAGCUAUUAGGAACACCUAAGUUUGUAUGUAAAUUGACAUAAAUGUUUUGUUUUUAAGAUGUUUAAAAUAAAAACAAUACAAAACAAACAAAGAAAACAUAUAAUGGAAGUGAUCAUAACAAUUUAGGUUAGUAAGAAAUGUUAUUUUUCAUUGAUAGUGGGAAGUAAAGUUUGGAGACAGAGAUGUGGCAGUCUCAGAUGCUGCUUGUUCCUGCAAUUUUACUUCAUUCUGCUGGUGGCUCUAAUGCUGCUGGUAGUCACUCUAAUCUGAACUGUUUUGGCUUGUUUGAGUACUGUGUAAAACUGUGAUUAAUUUAAUAAUUUGUUUUUCAGAGGCCCAGUUUGUGGAUAGGAACUCUGCAAUGCUUAUUCAAAGGGUUAAGGUUGUGAUGGCAAUAGCAGAUGAGUUAAAAAAUAAAGACAUGAUACAUGAUGAAACAUAUUCAGAGAUCAGAGCAGAAGUAACCAACCAGGGCAAAAUGAGAAAGUUGUUUGAAGCUCUGCAUUCUGGAGGAGACAGAGUGAAAAAGGGCUUUUAUUAUGCACUGAAAAAUCAUGAACAAUUCCUCUUCAAAGACCUGGGUGGUGUAACAAGUGAAAACAAAUAUGAGGUGGAUGAGGAGCACUGAAAUCAAACAAUAACCACCUUUUGUACAGGAAGAAGACCCCUGCAACCAAGAAACAGACAUGACCUGGAAAAAAGAAAGAGAGGAUGCAGUCACCUGAACAUAAAACAAUGUUUCAAAUGCAGAGGAAACUUUUACCUCAAAAUUACAAUUGUACUCACUCUCAUGCCAAUGAAAAGGAGAAAUUUAUCAGAUAGACUUUGUUCUACACAUUUGUAUAAAAGUGACCUUUUUUACUUUUGUGAUCCAUGGAAGAAAACAUCCUACAGGUUUUAAUUUUUAGGUGAACAUUUUUAAGCCAUACACAUUUUAUGCUGUUUUAAUGCCAAAAGUCCAACAUUUUAUACAUUGAGAAAAAAUUGUGUAGGAAUUACUUUUACUCAAAAAUUGCUAAACUUCACUAAUAAAGAAAUGAAAAGAAACACAUUGAAUUAACAUGGAAUUGAGAAGCAGAAAGACUGUAAGGUGUUACAGUAUGUAAUCAUCCAUAGAUAUUAAACCUUUAUUUUUGUUCCAUAUUUUUAUCUUUUUAUUAUUAUAAAUGUAUUUAUAUUAAGAAAAAGAUGAUGAAUAAUACACUUGCAAAUAAUUUCUUACAGUGCUUGCAAAGUAGCACUUUUUUACAUUUUGCUAAUAUUUGUGGUUUGUUCUGAAAUUCUGCCUUUAUAUUGUUUGUUUUCUUUCACGGGGAAUGAACUACACGUUGAAAUAAUUAACAUGCAUUUGUUUUUGCAUUUCACUGGGAAGGGUUCCUUUCACAUUAAUAACUGAUUGAUUGAUGCUUUAUUUGUCAUUUCUAUAUGUUGCAUAGAAACAAAAUUGUGUUUCACACGUCAACAGCUUACAGUGGAAUAAUAAAGGCACUUUUUAGACAGGUGGGUACACUGGCCUGGCUGAAAGAGAUGUUAAAUAUAUAACAAAAAAAACUCCUUUAAUUGCUCUGAGCACCUUUUAGUACACAACCUGGAAUCUGGUCAGGCCCAGCAGCCUUCUGUGGGUUGAUCUUAGUAAAGACCCUCUUAACGCUGUCUACUGUCAACUGCAGUACCUGUUGAACAGAAGACUGUUCCUGCAUGUGUGCAGCUCUGAUGUUCUUAACCUCAAACCGAGAAAAA